rnacentral:miRNA from 1 species
CUCCAGGACCACCUAAUAAUUCC